UACGGAGGAUGCGAGCGUUAUCCGGAUUUAUUGGGUUUAAAGGGUGCGUAGGCGGGCUUUUAAGUCAGCGGUAAAAAUUCGGGGCUCAACCCCGUCCGGCCGUUGAAACUAGGGGUCUUGAGUGGGCGAGGAGAAGGCGGAAUGCGUGGUGUAGCGGUGAAAUGCAUAGAUAUCACGCAGAACCCCGAUUGCGAAGGCAGCCUUCCGGCGCCCUACUGACGCUGAGGCACGAAAGUGCGGGGAUCGAACAGG
rnacentral:rRNA from 1 species